AAUUCGAUGAUACGCGAGGAACCUUACCCGGGCUUGAAAUGCAUCUGACCGGCCUUGAAAGAGGUUUUCCCUUCGGGGCAGAUGUGUAGGUGCUGCAUGGUUGUCGUCAGCUCGUGCCGUGAGGUGUCGGCUUAAGUGCCAUAACGAGCGCAACCCUCAUCAUUAGUUACCAUCAGGUAAGGCUGGGGACUCUAAUGAGACUGCCAUCGUAAGAUGUGAGGAAGGUGGGGAUGACGUCAAAUCAGCACGGCCCUUACGUCCGGGGCGACACACGUGUUACAAGGGGUGGUACAAAGGGCAGCUACCUGGCGACAGGAUGCUAAUCUCCAAAACCACUCUCAGUCCGGAUCGGAGUCUGCAACUCGACUCCGUGAAGCUGGAUUCGCUAGUAAUCGCGCAUCAGCCACGGCGCGGUGAAUACGUUCCCGGGCCUU
rnacentral:rRNA from 1 species